rnacentral:rRNA from 1 species
UGGGGAAUCUUCCGCAAUGGACGAAAGUCUGACGGAGCAACGCCGCGUGAGUGAAGAAGGUUUUCGGAUCGUAAAACUCUGUCUUUUGGGGCGAACGUGAGUAUGGUGAACAAUCAUAGUCAGUGACGGUACCAAAGGAGGAAGCCACGGCUAACUACGUGCCAGCAGCCGCGGUAAUACGUAGGUGGCAAGCGUUGUCCGGAAUUAUUGGGCGUAAAGAGCGCGUAGGCGGGAUAGUCAGUCUGUUGUAAAGUGCGGGGCUCAACCCCGUGAUGGCAAUGGAAACAGCUAUUCUUGAGUGCAGGAGAGGAAAGUGGAAUUCCCAGUGUAGCGGUGAAAUGCGUAGAUAUUGGGAGGAGCACCAGUGGCGAAGGCGACUUUCUGGACUGUGUCUGACGCUGAGGCGCGAAAGCCAGGGGAGCGAACGGGAUUAGAUACCCCCGGUAGUCCUGGCCGUAAACGAUGGGUACUAGGUGUGGGAGGUAUCGACCCCUUCCGUGCCGGAGUUAACGCAAUAAGUACCCCGCCUGGGGAGUACGGUCGCAAGACUGAAACUCAAAGGAAUUGAC